GUUAACGGAAUCGGAAUCUACCUUUUCGUGGGGGAUAACGUAGGGAAACUUACGCUAAUACCGCAUACGACCUUCGGGUGAAAGCAGGGGACCUUCGGGCCUUGCGCGGAAACGGUUCAAAAACCUGCAAAAAGAAGUUGGCGGGGUAAAGGCCCACCAAGGCGACGAUCCGUAGCUGGUCUGAGAGGAUGAUCAGCCACACUGGAACUGAGACACGGUCCAGACUCCUACGGGAGGCAGCAGUGGGGAAUAUUGAAGGUUCAGCGCAAGCCUGAUCCAGCCAUACCGCGUGGGUGAAGAAGGCCUUCGGGUUGUAAAGCCCUUUUGUUGGGAAAGAAAAGCAAUCGAUUAAUACUCGGUUGUUCUGACGGUACCCAAAGAAUAAGCACCGGCUAACUUCGUGCCAGCAGCCGCGGUAAUACGAAGGGUGCAAGCGUUACUCGGAAUUACUGGGCGUAAAGCGUGCGUAGGUGGUUGUUUAAGUCUGUUGUGAAAGCCCUGGGCUCAACCUGGGAAUUGCAGUGGAUACUGGGCGACUAGAGUGUGGUAGAGGGUAGUUGGCCAUGCCAACGUGCAGUGAAAAUGCGUAGAGAUCGGGAGGAACAUCCAU
rnacentral:rRNA from 2 species